rnacentral:rRNA from 1 species
AUUGAACGCUGGCGGCAGGCCUAACACAUGCAAGUCGAAUGGUAACAGGAAACAGCUUGCUGUUUCGCCGACGAGUGGCGGACGGGUGAGUAAUGUCUGGGAAACUGCCUGAUGGAGGGGGAUAACUACUGGAAACGGUAGCUAAUACCGCAUAACGUCGCAAGACCAAAGAGGGGGACCUUCGGGCCUCUUGCCAUCAGAUGUGCCCAGAUGGGAUUAGCUAGUAGGUGGGGUAACGGCUCACCUAGGCGACGAUCCCUAGCUGGUCUGAGAGGAUGACCAGCCACACGGGAACUGAGACCCGGUCCAGACCCCUACGGGAGGCAGCAGGGGGGAAUAUUGCACAAGGGGCGCAAGCCUGAUGCAGCCAUGCCGCGUGUAUGAAGAAGGCCUUCGGGUUGUAAAGUACUUUCAGGGGGGAGGAAGGGAGUAAAGUUAAUACCUUUGCCCAUUGACGUUACCCGCAGAAGAAGCACCGGCUAACCCCGU